AUCACCCUGGAGACUCAGGAUUGAAGCUGCUCUCUGCUGUACUGGAGGAUCCCAGCUGUAAACUGGAGAAGCUACAUGUGGAUCACGGUGGAGAGUGCAGGACCAGACCAGGCUUACAGAAAUACUCCUGCCAGCUGACGCUGGACCCCAACACAGCAAACAGAUUCCUGUCUCUGUCAGGGGGGAACAGGAAGGUGAC